rnacentral:rRNA from 1 species
UACGUAGGGGGCAAGCGUUGUCCGGAUUUAUUGGGCGUAAAGAGCGUGUAGGCGGCCAAAUAGGUCGGUUGUGAAAACUGGAGGCUUAACCUCCAGACGUCGACCGAAACCAUCUGGCUAGAGUCCGGAAGAGGAGAGUGGAAUUCCUGGUGUAGCGGUGAAAUGCGCAGAUAUCAGGAAGAACACCCGUGGCUAAGGCGGCUCUCUAGUACGGUACUGACGCUGAGACGCGAAAGCGUGGGGAGCGAACAGG